GAUGAACGCUGGCGGCGUGCCUAAUAUAUGCAAGUCGAGCGAACAGAUGAGGAGCUUGCUCCUCUGACGUUAGCGGCGGACGGGUGAGUAACACGUGGAUAACCUACCUAUAAGACUGGGAUAACUUCGGGAAACCGGAGCUAAUACCGGAUAAUAUAUUGAACCGCAUGGUUCAAUAGUGAAAGACGGUUUUGCUGUCACUUAUAGAUGGAUCCGCGCCGCAUUAGCUAGUUGGUAAGGUAACGGCUUACCAAGGCAACGCUGCGUAGCCGACCUUAGAGGGUGAUCCGCCACACUGGAACUGAGACACGGUCCAAACUCCUAAGGGAGGCAGCAGUAGGGAAUCUUCCGCAAUGGGCGAAAGCCUGACGGAGCAACGCCGCGUGAGUGAUGAAGGUCUUCGGAUCGUAAAACUCUGUUUUUAGGGAAGAACAAAUGUGUAAGUAACUAUGCACGUCUUGACGGUACCUAAUCAGAAAGCCACGGCUAACUACGUG
rnacentral:rRNA from 1 species